rnacentral:lncRNA from 1 species
CGGAGACUUACCACGGGAAGGAGUUACUGACCUACGGCUGGAAGGGGGUGAUCUACGUCGCCGUGGGGAUGAAGAUCUGCGGUGUCGCUGUUGCACAGGAGAAGGUGAUCUACGUCGCAUGGGAGGUGGUGAUCUUCGUCGAAGAGGUGAUGGAGACCUACGGCGCACAGGCAAUGGGGAUUUACGACGUAUAGGUGAAGGAGAUCUGCGACGCACAGGGGAACGAGAUCCAUGGAGCAUAGGUGAGGGAGACCUACGACGCCGUACAAGAGAUGGUGAUCUGCGACGUCGAAUGGACAAUGGUGAUCUACGACGUGUAAUAGGUGAUGGUGAUCUAUAACGUCGGAUGGGUGAACGAGAUCUACGGUGCACAG